CCCCAGAACCUUUUAUGUAAGAAUGCCUGAACAUAGCAGGAAUCUUGUUUGAGGAGCCACAGAUAGAAGUGCUGAUGGAAAUAAAACAUGAAGGACAUCCCUGCAUAAUACAUGGUGCUCUUUAUACCACAGAGUAACACUGUUUUGGAGCAAUCAUCCAGUACCAAUGUGGCAGUGGUCAUGGACUUGGUGGAACCAAGAAAGGCCCCAAAGGAUGACUAUGAAACAGCUGGUGUCAAUGAUGCGGAUGGCUGCAGUUUUAUUUGGGUGACAGCAGUUGGUAUAACAACUCUUCUACUGCUUACAUUUAAAAUACCCCAUAUAGGCAGGCACAUGCUCCUGAGGUAUGGCAAGUCUGGAGUCCCCAGUGUGGGACUUAAACUCCACAAGAGCCAAGAACAGUCUGAGAGCUACUCUUCUGGAAUUGAAUAAACAAACAAACAAAUCUGUUUUUUCUGGAUUGUCAGUUCUUCCCUGAAUUUAUCCCUUUCUCAGUAGACUUUGUAAGAUUUUAAUAAAGAAGAUCAAUAUUGUCCUUAUUUUCACUGAAAAAAAUAAGAAAAAUAAACGAAAAAAACUCUAAAGCAAAGAUUGACUGCCUUAAUGAAUAAUGUUUGCAAGAUGUUGGAUUUUUUGACUUAGUUAUAAUUGAAAAAAAGUUUUUUCUUAUUUAUCUUGAAGAAUUUCACUUUCAAAGGAUUAAGCAAUUCUCUGACUGAAAAUAAGAGUUUAAGGUAUUAAUCGCCCGGCACUUUCUGGCUGUCAUGAGGUGAGCAGCUUUGAUUUACGGCAUGCUCUGCAUCAUGAUGACCUGCUUCAUUACAAGCCCAGAAAUAAUGGAGCCAAGUGACCACAGACGGAAUCCUCUAAAACAGUGAACCAAAAGAAAUCUUUCAAUAUUUCUCCUUUAAGUUAUUUUUCUCUGGUAUUUUUCAAAGCAAUGGAAAGCUACAACAAUACCAUACUUUGCCUUCUGGACCUUUUAUGACCCUCUCCAAGCAGGAAAAAAAAAUUCAUGCAAUACAGUUUUUGGCUAUUUGCAAUUUGCUAGAUACUUUGCAUACAUUGUGUAACUUAAUUUCUACAAUUUUUUCAUUUCUACAAUUAUCUCUACACUGAUUUUAAGCUCUUUUCACAUUAAGGAAACUGAGGACCAAGGAAGUUAUAUAACUUCCUCACAGUCACAGAGCACAUGUGGCACAGUGAGAAUUUGAACCCAGUGUCCCUGGCUCCCAAGCUGGUGCUUUCAAUCAUACUCUUCAAUAUUGAACUAUAAUGUCACAUAUUGUCUCCAAAAUGUCACCUUCUCUCAUUUCAGCCUGACUCUUCUUGGCCUUUACUACAUAAGAAAUAGAAAUGAAAUGUCUUCACCCUCCUUUGCUUACUUUGUCCGUGCUGUUGGGGUUCAUAUUCUACAUACAUAACAGUUGCUGGUUUGUAUCUUACUAUUUUGAAAGAGAAAAAGAAUGCAACAGCCAAAAAUAAGUCUUAGAAAUAUCACUUGAUAGUCUAGUGGGUUUUUUAUUUUUCAUUUAUAUCUCCAGUUGAUACAUACAACCAUUCAUUCAUCACUCAUUUAGAGCAGAUUAUUUGGAUAUUUCUUAAACACAGAUGGAUAUUCCCUUAGUAACUCUCUUCUUAUUUAAAAAAUAAUUUAUCCAAAUAAAUGUUUUAUGAAAAAAUGAGUAAAUAAUCCACAUCUUCCUUCAUUUCAAAAUGUGAGAAAUAGGUAGAUCCUAAAAGCUACUCCAUUCUCUCAGUUUUCAUGAUGGGAUGACUGAGAACAACAUGGGAUUAUGAACUGGAUUAUAAGGGAGUAAGAUUGAAAUUGAGCCUAGCCAGAAGUUUAUAAAUCCAGUUGCUAAUUUGUCUAGACAUAAGAAAAAGGCCAAGGCCAUGAAACUUCCAACUCAAAGAUAGAAGGCGUCUCUUCAGUGGUAUUAUUUACAAAUAGUAAUAUUUUCAUUUGUGAUGAAAUGAGGAAUUUCUCCAUUGGAUGGUAGAAGAGUAAAGUUUGGUAAACUGAAAAUUAUCUAUUAUGCUCUUUGCCUUAUUUUAAUAUGAGAUCAUAAAAUUUUUCUUCUCUCUUAUGACUGGCACCUUAAAGUAUACCAAGCUCAUUCUCUGACUAGAAAAAAUAUCAUAGAGUUUAAAAAUGAAAGUAAUGUCGAUUUCCAACAAUGUAAUAUAAAUGAAACUUGAAUACUUCACUUCUUCUCUUCCUUUGAAGUGCCUGUUCCACUCAGCUGAAAAUAACUAGAUGAUGGUAAAAGAAGUAAGGUGGUUGUAAUAUCAUAAUUUUUGUUAGUCAAAUUAUUAAUAUUUCAUGCCAACUUCAAGUCACAACAGUAUCCGAAAUCUUUAAAAUUACAAUAACACCUAUGUGGUCCACUUUUCACAUUUAGGCUCCAGAAUUUAUUUUUAACAUCACUG
rnacentral:lncRNA from 1 species